AUUUCCCCACAGAGAUUUAUUUUAACAUUCAUAUCAUAUGCAUAAUGAGGUCUCUUAGGGACCAAAAUUUGUUUCUAUAUGUUGUUAUUUAAGCUCAUUCUACUGAGUCGAUGCAAAGAUUUUAACCUUCAUCUCCUCAGUUAGAAUGUCCUUAAAUAUGGGCAACUGUAAGACCCCAAUUUUGACCCUAAGAUCCCUCAUGCUAUCUCAUCAUAUGCAUUAGCAUUGGGAUCACACCUUGGCAUCCUCCUUACCCAUCAUCCAU
rnacentral:lncRNA from 1 species